GUUUUGCACGAGAAGUACGAGACUCUCCUUGAGAAGAACACUAGGCUGGAGCAGCAGGUGGCUGCUCUGUCCACUUCUUUCCUGUCUCUCAAGGAGGGCAUGCAGUUUCUGAAUGAUGGGGAGUAGCAGCAGUCACGGAUCAUGGGGCCAGAGCCACGUCUUCUCAUGUGUGCCAAAGAGUGUCGUCAAGCUGACACGCACGAGAGCAAUGGUGUAGCCGACCGGCUCGCAGCCGUUGAUGGCGACGUCGGGAAGUGCAGCGAGUGGCCGGACGAGGCGCAGCCCUCAUCGCCACGGAUCCCGACGGCGGCGAGAGUUGCGUCCAUGGACAACGACCACGAGUGCGUGAUGAACCGACCGGCGACCGAAACGCACCAACGAGUGGCUCACCGCCGUUCCACCAACCAACUCCCUGGUACCUUCUCUCACUGUCGCGGCCACCUGCCACCAACGGAAGGCACGGCCGGCAGCAUGCUGCCCGACCAUGGUCUCCUCCCAUAAUUUGUGCAUUUCAUCUCUGGUUGUCCUAUUUUUUGUAUUUCGAUUAUGGACAGAGAAGGAGAAUGGCAGGCACAUUUUUAUCUGAAAUUCCGUCUGAAGAUGUUGAAGCUACCUAUGGUUGUUAAUUUUGAACCGUAUGUCUCUCGAUUUCUUUUUCUAUUUGUGCACCUGUUCGACAUAGGAGUUCAUGGGAUUUGUGGAAUUCAUGGGAAAAUACUAGGAGUUCUCAAUGACUCUAGAAUGGUAUAUUCUAUUUCAUGACUCUGAAAUUGUACUAUGGAAUUUUCCUAUUUCAACAAAUGUUCACACCCAAUUCACUUCUUAACCCUUAGAGAAAUUAAGUUAAGCAGAACCAAGCUAACGAUGGGUUUGCGUGGUGGUGCAGAAGGACGACGACGAGGGCCAGGAAGGCGCUAGACCAGCCGAAGGAGCUCGGGUGGGCCAAGUGGUGGAGUUGGCAAUCCUAUAUGUAAUUUUUACUUUGUCUAUACGCCAACUUCAAACAUGUUUUUUUGAAGUUCUAUUA